UACGGGGGGGGCAAGCGUUGUUCGGAAUUACUGGGCGUAAAGGGUGCGUAGGCGGCUUUCUAAGUUGGAUGUGAAACUCUGGGCUCAACCCAGAGCCUGCAUCCAAAACUGGAGAGCUUGGGUUCUGGAGGGGAAAGCGGAAUUCCUGGUGUAGCGGUGAAAUGACGCAGAUAUCAGGAGGAAUACCGAUGGCGAAGGCAGGUCUCUGGGCCACUACUGACGCUGAGAAGCGAAAGCAUGGGGAGCGAACAGG
rnacentral:rRNA from 1 species